rnacentral:lncRNA from 1 species
GAAGACUCAAAGACCCUAAGAAUGACAGAACCAUAAAACAUAAGGAGUCUAGAUGGCUGUAUCACAUGUGGAAGAGAGAUACGCACCUACCAAAAACAUCUGGUUAUUUCCCUGCUGGGAUUUGGGAAGAUUUCUUCAUGUGAAAUAAGCAGAGGGAAUUUGAACUAAAUAACUCCAUUGCCUACUGAAGAAGCUGCCCAGAAAAGAGAAAGGUGCUGCUCAUCAAAUAUUCUUUCAACGUUCCUCUCACAGAGCCAACUUGAAUGGAGACUUCCUUAGACAACCAGAGAAAAGUUUUAUGGCUACAGUAAAUAAAUUUUUGUUGCUAUGUAAGCCAGAAUGUAAGCAGGAAUCCUUAAUGAUACUCUAGAUAUACCUGGAGGAAACUUUUGCCAUACUUCAUACAUUGCUGACAUGUCAGCUACAACACUUCACACUUGACUGAGGCGCUAUUAAAACAAUUACCGAGUCAUUAACAAGAGCUUUUAAGACCAGUUUUGAA